rnacentral:ncRNA from 1 species
UUAAGAGUAAUAUGGCAACAUUGAAACUGAAAUCAUUAGACCGUUUCUGAAACCAGUAGUGAAGUAUGUUAUUUAAUUCGAUAAUCCGCGAAAAAUCUUACCACAAUUUGUAUAAUAUUAAAUUAUUACAAGCGUUGCACGGCUGUCUGCAGUUAAUGUCGUGAGACAUGGUUAAUUCCUUUAAUUAACGCAAACCCUAACUUUAUUUAUUUAUCUAUAUAAAGUAACUCGC